ensembl:lncRNA LINC00963 long intergenic non-protein coding RNA 963
CUGGCAGGAGCCGUCCUCACUCCCUCUAUUGCCUCUCCAGACCCAGACUUCACCCUCAGGUCACCCUCACCUGGACUUUGGGGUGCCCCACACCCCGCCCCAGGCCCUGGCCUCUGGAAUAUUUGGAAACUUGAACUGGGCCAGAGGCUUAAGCUCACAUCUGUCUGGAGCCUCAACUUUCUCCUCUGUAAAAUGGGCUAACACUGAAAGAACCUUGCAGAAUCUCAGCAACGUCACAGAGGACAUUGUUAGCACAGCCAGCGGGCUCCUGCUGGGCUGAGUUUGUGGGUAAUCCAAGCCUCGGCAGGUACAGUUCCUCCCUCAGCCCAGUGCAGAUGCAUCUGACUUACGAAACUUCAGUGACACCUGCUCUGUGCCAGACACUGAAGAUGGAGCAGUGAACAGCACUGACCCAGCCUGUCCUCCUGUUGCCUGCAGGCCAGAAGCAAGGUCUCGCUGUGUUACCCUGGCUGGAGUGCAGUGGCUACUUACAGGCAUGAUCAUAGCAUACUGCAGCCUCGAACUCCUGGACUAGAGCAGUUCUCCUGCCUCAGCCUCCAGAGCAGCUGGGACUGCAGACACGCACCACAGAGCCCAGCCUGAGUCAUUUUGAUUCUGUAACUGGCUUCCUCUCGGCGGGCAGGCUCACACCCUCCACCCCCAGCUGGAGAUGGAAGGAGGAUGCUCACCGCCCAUUCCUCAUGCAGGCCAUCGAUGGAAAUGUCAGACAGUGCGAGUCCACGCCUGAACACUUCUGGGGUCCGCUCUGGGACUGACACUGGCAGAUCCAUCGUGGCACCCGAGCUCUGUGAGGGCAAGACUUUGUUCGGUUGUGGGCUAUGCCCCCAACCCCUCGGACAGUGCCUGCACAGGUGGACAUUUUUGUUGGAUGAAGGAUUUUCUGUUAAAUGUGUCUGGCACACACAGAAAAACAAAGCCCAGCAGAUGCCGUUCCAUUGUUUGCUGACUUUCAUUGAUUCUAUGAGAAGUCUGCAGUCUUUUGCAGCGUUGUUUUCCUAUGUAUAAUUGUCUCCUCCCACCCCACUCACCCCAGCUGCUUUCCACAUUCUCUCUCUUUGAUUUUCAGCAGUCUGCCCAUGAUGUGCCUAAAUAGGACUUUCUUUGCAUUCAUCUUGGCUGGGGCUCACUGAACUUUCUGAAUCUGUAGAUUAAUUUUCUUUUUUCAAUAAACCUUGGAAUAUUUUCAGCAUAA